rnacentral:rRNA from 1 species
GAUGUACGCUGGCGGCGUGCCUAAUACAUGCAAGUCGAGCGAACAGACGAGGAGCUUGCUCCUCUUACGUUAGCGGCGGACGGGUGAGUAACACGUGGAUAACCUACCUAUAAGACUGGGAUAACUUCGGGAAACCGGAGCUAAUACCGGAUAAUAUAUUUAACCGCAUGUUUCAAUAGUGAAAGACGGUUUUGCUUUCACUUAUAGAUGUAUCCGCGCCGCAUUAGCUAGUUGGUAAGGUAACGGCUUACCAAGGCAACGAUGCGUAGCCGACCUGAGAGGGUGAUCGGCCACACUGGAACUGAAACACGGUCCAGACUCCUACGGGAGGCAGCAGUAGGGAAUCUUCCGCAAUGGGCGAAAGCCUGACGGAGAAACGCCGCGUGAGUGAUGAAGGUCUUCGGAUCGUAAAACUCUGUUAUUAGGGAAGAACAAAUGUGUAAGUAACUAUGCACGUCUUGACGGUACCUAAUCAGAAAGCCACGGCUAACUACGUG